rnacentral:rRNA from 1 species
GACGAACGCUGUCGGCGUGCUUAGCACAUGCAAGUCGAACGGAAAGGCCCUGCUUUUGUGGGGUGCUCGAGUGGCGAACGGGUGAGUAACACGUGAGUAACCUGCCCUUGACUUUGGGAUAACUUCAGGAAACUGGGGCUAAUACCGGAUAGGAGCUCCUGCUGCAUGGUGGGGGUUGGAAAGUUUCGGCGGUUGGGGAUGGACUCGCGGCUUAUCAGCUUGUUGGUGGGGUAGUGGCUUACCAAGGCUUUGACGGGUAGCCGGCCUGAGAGGGUGACCGGCCACAUUGGGACUGAGAUACGGCCCAGACUCCUACGGGAGGCAGCAGUGGGGAAUAUUGCACAAUGGGAGGAAGCCUGAUGCAGCAACGCCGCGUGCGGGAUGACGGCCUUCGGGUUGUAAACCGCUUUCGCCUGUGACGAAGCGUGAGUGACGGUAAUGGGUAAAGAAGCACCGGCUAACUACGUG